rnacentral:rRNA from 2 species
GGGUUGUGAGGUUAAGCGACUAAGCGUACACGGUGGAUGCCCUGGCAGUCAGAGGCGAUGAAGGACGUGCUAAUCUGCGAUAAGCGUCGGUAAGGUGAUAUGAACCGUUAUAACCGGCGAUUUCCGAAUGGGGAAACCCAGUGUGUUUCGACACACUAUCAUUAACUGAAUCCAUAGGUUAAUGAGGCGAACCGGGGGAACU